UGCACUCAUUGAUAUGUGAGAAGUUUGCCCUCUUCCUUAGUGGAAUGUUCAUGGGCAAAAUUUGCAAUUUGAAAUGUGGCGUGUUGGGCCACCUAUGGCCCGCGGUGUGAACAUACCGCCCCUUACGAUGGUACGCAACCAUGUUAAAAUAAUUAAUAAUACAUACUUAAAUAUGUAUGUACAUAUAAUACUAUAAGCGUGUGUCGAAUGAUAGCAAUGACAUAGGGGGUUAUUUUUUACGAUGGUGAGAAAAAAAUGUUAAUUUUGAAGUGCCAAUCGACCAUUUUUUCUAACUCUGACAAAUUUUGACGUUUGUCAAAAAUCAAAAGUAAACAAGAUGUGCGCGCCACAUAAUAAUACAGGAAAAAGCCUGAAAAUAAUAAUUAUUUGUGAAAUGAAUAUUUUUCCAACAUAUUUCCCAUUACUGCUAGCAGUUAUAUUGCAAAUGCGAACGUUGCAAUAUGGAGAUAUUUUAGGUCUAGCUUUGGAAAAGAGGAAAACACGGCUAGAAGUUUUGUAUAAGGAACCUUCUUCACGAACCAUUACUUCACGAAAAAUGAAUGCAAAUGCAAAUUUGCUUCUAUUUUUUACAUAAAUAUGAUGAACGAAAUAUGAAUAGAAAAAACACUACACGGCGGCGCUUUCAUUUCAUUAAACUACAAACACAAAACUGUACUUUUGUCAAUUAUUGUUAAAUAACUACCUUUUAGAAUUCCGCUGCCAAUGAUAAUAAACAAUAACUUUACUCAUUUUAUGCCGUACGCAAGUUGGUUACCAAAACGCAAAUGAAUUUACAAUUACUGACAUGGGACUUUGCUCAACGUCAAAAUUUGCUGUGCUGUCAAAAAUCUUACUAGCCCCUGGGCUACUCAAAAAUUAUUCAUCACGCUUAACGUCAUAUUUUUACUAUCCCUACAACUUUGCUGCUUUAAAUUCAAUUCAAUAAGUAAAUGGCGUUAAGAACUAUUCAUGACGGUGGUAAUGGGGUUCUAAUAACUAGACAAAUGUAUAAUUAUGCAAAAGACGGCAAGAACAAAUAAAAUAAUUCAAAUGCGAUCGUUAUUGACCCAAUGCAGUGUGAUUAUUGCUCCAGCUCCUCGCUUAUAUCGACAUGCCCGAAAAAGGCCGUCCCAAAAAUGGUUUCUUGGGCAAAUCGCAUGUUGUCUUCCUUCUUUGGAAGUCACAAGAGUGGAGUAACGCGUAAGUAAAUUGGUGGGACAGAGGGAGCAGCCGUCCUUGUAUUUAAUGAGUUUCCCUUUCCUCAGUGGUGGCAGGAUCAGAAAUCGACGGCAUCUGCCCAGAGGGUGCCGAGUCAUCCAAGUUCAUGGUAGAUGGGAGAGACAAAUUCAAUUAACAGCGUCACGAAUAGAAAUGCUAAUCAGAUUGGGCCAGGAAAGAGUUAGAUGUUAUAUUUUUAUUUUGCUCGUGGAAGAAGCACAAUUUUGUGAACAGGAGGGGUAAUCAUACCGUUUUGAGUUCUUAUGUCGACAAUUCGUACCUGGAUGUCACGACCAGUAUACAAUUUUACAUUACAAGUGGAUUCGUUUAGUAAAAGGACUAAAUCGUUAAGAACCAGUUUCUCCUGGUUGGAUUUCCAUUUGAAUAGCUUAUGGAGCUCCGUCAGGUACUCGAAUUUCCACCAACGACAAAAUUCCUGCUAGAUAAUAUUGCGAAUUUAGACAACAUUCGAUGGAGGUAGGUAUUGUGGCAAAUUCAUGGAAAGUGUGAUGUAUUUGUCCGGCAAUCUUUUUUAGGUGCGUCUUACAACUUUUCACACCAGCCCUCUCAUAUGCGGGGUAGCAGCCGGUAUGAAAUGCCACUAUACUUGUUGAAACCUGUAGCGAGAAAGAACUUCAUCACGUAACUCAGACACAAUUUUUUUGGAGUUAGAGUUUAAUUCUCUUGCAGCACCCACAAAAUUUCUCCCGUUGUCCAAGUAUAUUUUCCUGCGGGCACCCUGGCGAGAGCCAAAUCAGAAUAAAGCAGGUAGAAAGGCUUGCGUCGACAGAUCACUUACGGGAUCAAGAUGGAUAACUUAUGUAACAAAACAAACAAAGAGACAAAAAUACCCUUUAGUAAGCCGGCAUCCUGGACCACGAAAGUUCUUAAGAAGUCGACUCCUGUCGUUGCAAAGGGUCGGCCAAAUAUUGUCCUCUUUUGGGGAAAAGGAGCUAUUAUUUAGCCCUGGCGUGUAUGUCUCGCUAUAGUACACUUCUUGCAAUGACUUAUUCGGGUUUUUAUAAGAUUCUUGGCCUGUAUUAUCCAACACUCAAGUCAGACUGUUGCCAGAGUCAAUUGAAUACCCCCAUGAAAAGUGAAUUUAUGAAUAAAGUCAACAUACAGUUGCGCGUACCGGGUUUGGUAUGCCAGAACGA
rnacentral:sRNA from 1 species